rnacentral:rRNA from 1 species
UACGGAGGAUCCAAGCGUUAUCCGGAAUCAUUGGGUUUAAAGGGUCCGUAGGCGGUUUAAUAAGUCAGUGGUGAAAGCCUAUCGCUCAACGGUGGAACGGCCAUUGAUACUGCUAGACUUGAAUUAUUGGGAAGUAACUGGAAUAUGUAGUGUAGCGGUGAAAUGCUUAGAGAUUACAUGGAAUACCAAUUGCGAAGGCAGGUUACUAUCAAUGGAUUGACGCUGAUGGACGAAAGCGUGGGUAGCGAACAGG